rnacentral:rRNA from 1 species
GACGGGGCCCGCACAAGCGGUGGAGUAUGUGGUUUAAUUCGACGCAACGCGCAGAACCUUACCUAGACUUGACAUCCCGGGGAUUUUCUGGAAACAGAGAAGUGCUUUAGCAAUAAAGAACCCGGUGACAGGUGCUGCAUGGCUGUCGUCAGCUCGUGUCGUGAGAUGUUGGGUUAAGUCCCGCAACGAGCGCAACCCUCGCCUUUAGUUGCCAGCAUUCAGUUGGGCACUCUAGAGGGACUGCCGGUGUCAAACCGGAGGAAGGUGGGAUGACGUCAAGUCCUCAUGGCCUUUAUGUCUAGGGCUACACACGUACUACAAUGGCCGGUACAAAGGGCAGCCACUCAGCGAUGAGGCGCUAAUCCCAUAAAGCCGGUCUCAGUCCGGAUCGCAGUCUGCAACUCGACUGCGUGAAGUUGGAAUCGCUAGUAAUCGUAGAUCAGCAUGUCACGGUGAAUACGUUCCCGGGUCUU